rnacentral:rRNA from 1 species
GUAGGUGGCAAGCGUUGUCCGGAAUUAUUGGGCGUAAAGCGCGCGCAGGCGGUUCUUUAAGUCUGAUGUGAAAGCCCACGGCUCAACCGUGGAGGGUCAUUGGAAACUGGAGAACUUGAGUACAGAAGAGGAAAGCGGAAUUCCACGUGUAGCGGUGAAAUGCGUAGAGAUGUGGAGGAACACCAGUGGCGAAGGCGGCUUUCUGGUCUGUAACUGACGCUGAGGCGCGAAAGCGUGGGGAGCAAACAGGAUUAGAUACCUUGGUAGUCCACGCCGUAAACGAUGAGUGCUAAGUGUAGGGGGUUUCCGCCCCCCUUAGUGCUGCAGCUAACGCAUUAAGCACUCCGCCUGGGAGUACGGCCGCAAGGCUG